GGGAAGAUGGUGCUUAACUAUUCUAUAAGAAGUCCUGAAGAAUAUAAAUCAACCAUUUUUAAGUAAUUUAUUAUUUUCACUCCAAAAGUAACACAAUAUUCAUCUUAACAGAAGUUGGCAAUGCAAGAUCAUGGGAUUCCAAGAGACAAAAGAAAGCCAUUGAAGGAUUUCAAGGCUAUAAGAGGUACCUCAUGUGUGGAGAGUGGCAUGGGUUCAUAUGUGACAGAUGAACAUGUAUCUUAUUUAAUGAUACAUAUUACAGAGAAAGUUGGGGACAUAAAAGGAAAUAAACAUUAUUUACUAAUAGUGGGAGGUGAAAACAAAACUCAUCAACGUGGUAAGUGAUAAAAUUUAUGAUUAGAGAUUUUUCUCCUCAACUUUACUGUUUUCCAUUCUAUUUCUAUAUCUUCUUAAAGCUAUGGUGGGCACUAAGGCA
rnacentral:lncRNA from 1 species